UACUAUAUAGUUUAAUAAUAAAACCUUAAUCUUGUAAAUUAAAAAUAAAAAUCAAAUUAAUUUUUAUAGUAA
rnacentral:tRNA from 1 species